rnacentral:rRNA from 1 species
UGCCAGCAGCCGCGGUAAUACGAGGGGCGCAAGCGUUGUCCGGAUUUAUUGGGCGUAAAGGGUGUGUAGGCGGGUCUGUAAGUCGGAAUUUAAAUCCCACAGCUUAACUGUGGAUCUGGUUUCGAAACUGCAGGUCUUGAGUUCGAGAGGGGAGAGUGGAAUUCCUGGUGUAGCGGUGGAAUGCGUAGAUAUCAGGAGGAACACCGGUGGCGAAGGCGGCUCUCUGGCUCGAUACUGACGCUAAGACACGAAAGCGUGGGGAGCAAACAGGAUUAGAUA